rfam:Corchorus capsularis cultivar CVL-1 contig12067, whole genome shotgun sequence.
GGUGAGGUGUCCGAGUGGCUGAAGGAGCACGCCUGGAAAGUGUGUAUACGUUUACGCGUAUCGAGGGUUCGAAUCCCUCUCUCACCG